UCUUAGGCAAGAAGAACGGACAGCCCCAACUCUGCCUUUUAUACGGGGGUGGACCGGGCUGUCGGUGGGAAAUAUUUCUACCACCAUAGCUCAGAAGAAACAGGGGGACCCGGUUGAUUUAAUACGAAUGGAUGAUGCCAGGCGACGUCACCAUCAACCGUCGCUACGAAGCUCAAGAACCUGCUGAUAUUAUUCUGAAGGUGCUGAUUUCGUUCAUCGCUCUACCCCGGCAGUCUUGAGAGGUGCGUGCCAACCACACUCGAUCCACCCUUGUCUUCUGAGGUUUCAGCACUUACGCCUAUAAUAAAAGAAGGAACCUACUACGUUGCCCAGGUGUGUUCAGCCUGACUGCUAGUCCUCACUGAGGGGGCCCGUGGGGGUCCUGGGGGACCAGAGGGGUUGGCUGUUAUCUUUGGUUAUCUAGCUGUAUGAGUGGUGUACAUUCUUCAUAAAGCUAGAUAACCGAAAGUAACAAGAAUCCCAUUACGCUCCUGCAAGGCCCGUCCUAUCAUGUUCACAAACAAGAGAAGAUGGCUGAAGUCCGUUUAGUCACACUGAAGGUGACCUGUCACACUGAAGUCUCGUCACGACCAGCCAUCUAGCUCUGCCGGAGGUCCGAUACGCACGGGCAGCCACCUCACCGACGUCCUGGCCUAAAUGAAACCGGAUACCAUAAUGCUGCCCCAACGCUGAAACCUGGAAGCACUUUGCAGACGUUCAAUGAUCUCCCAUUGACAGGCUGAACUACGGGCGCAUGCCUGGACAUGCCUUAUACCUCCACCAUGAGGUAAUGUACUGUGGCGUGGACACCAAUGGAUACUCAACCGCAGCUGCUCCUGUUGGCCCGGCCUCUACAGACUGGCUUCUGAACCUUUGGAUACAAACCAGGGUUGAAACGAACUGGGCUAUCACGAACGGGUGUGUCUCUGGCAACUCCAGCUCACAGAACUGGAUCGGGUUAUGGACCACGGCAGUUGAAAAGCACAUCCAAAACCAGAUAGCGGCACAUAUGGAAGGGCACUGGACUGGCGUACGGAACAUCCGAGUGGAGGUCACAUGCAUCAUCAGUCAUGGGGGGGUGGGGUGGGGGGGGGAUGUAUGAGGGUCUUUUGGAGUGUGUGAGAUGUGUGUGUGUGUGCAUGUCACACGUGUUUCAGUGGUACACUGUGUUCUCUGAGAAGGCUCCACACACAGCUGGAUGUGUCACAUCUGCAGUGAUUUCCACACGGGCCGGCAUGCUGAUCUGUUCAAGUGUGUAUGUGCGUGUUUGUUUGCGUAUGGACACACAGCCCAGCUGAGCGCUGGGAUUAUAAACCGCUUCUAUUCCGACAUGCAAGCACACUUACACACACCACAUAUCGUAGGACGGGUCUUGUAACCAUGGCAUUGUAAUACAGGAUAUUGGAGUGACAACAUAGCAGUCAGAUAAUGUCCACUGAAUAAACAGUAGAAACGCAACAUGCAACAAUUGACAGUUACAGUUCGUAUAAGGAAAUCAGUCAAUUGAAGUUAAGUAAUCAAGACAGAUUUGUGCACAACAUUAGAGAGGAAUAAGCUUUUGUGUGCAUGGAACAUUUCUCUGAUAUUUGAUUUCAGCUUGACUUCAGCACAUGGGACCAAAAUCACAUUUGUUAAGUAUAUACUCAUAUAUAACACAUGCAAUUGAUUAAAAUAGAAGCAUAGAAAUGUGCUGAAGCAGAAUAGAAUAAUUACUUACGGUUGGCAUUAGAUUGACAUUAUUAAUUGAAAGAUGAAUAUUACAUUAGUUUAUUUAGAAUUCCAAAAUGAGUGUGGAUUUUUGUGUGUUAAUCAUUUCUAUGCAUUUUUUGAAACCUAUGCAAAUUAGUAGCAACAAAGUAGCAAUUUUAUAAUGCUAUUAUGGGUCAAUUACAUUCUCAUGGUUUAGAUUUGUAGUUCUACAGCACCAUAAAUAAUUUAAAUACUGUAGGCUGAUGUGAGACCUUAGAAAAGUUCAAUAUAAAAACUAUAAAAUAUAACAUGUUCAUAAAACAAAUCCAUGUAGAAUUAUAAACAUUGAAACAUCUAUAGGUCUGAACAAUGAAACAUCUAUAAGUGAAAUGGAUUUAUUAAAAAUAUAGAUAUUUCCAAUAAUCUUUAAAUGAAAAUUCUAUGCAACGUUUAUAUUUUGUAACAUUUUGUAAUCACAACAUUUGACUAUCAUUUUGAGCAACUGCAAUUCAUAUUCUGAUUUAUGUCAGGCUUUAGAGGGUUUACUUCUACAGUUUUGAAAAUCAUAUUUGUGUUUUUAGACAUUUUAAUAACUAUGCAAACGAUGUAUGUUAAAUAUGUCUCACAGUGAGAUGUUCUUUACAACUGAACAAGUUGUUUAUCCUACAUUUACAGCAAAGGUGCACUAUACGAGCAAGUAUGCAAUAUGCUAUAUGUUAUGAAGAUCCCUGUAUAUAAUGGGUAACUGUGCAAUGUUUUGUAAGGAAUGUGCAAUCAGUGUGAAUGGGUGCUCACAGAUAAGUGUGAAAUAGAAAUCUGUGUAUUUAUUAUAUAGAAAGGGUGUAAUAGGUAUGGAGAAAGAAUGCACUAUUUUAAGGGAUAAUGCAAUGUUACAAUGACAGUUGGAUUUUAAGAUGUUUGCAUAAGUGAACCAAGGCCCACAAAUUCAACCCUGAAUUCUGAAUCCUGAAUCCUGAACCUAUGUGACUGAUUGAUGCUUGUACCAUGGAAUGCGUACUAAGCGUGAUCAGUUUACCUAAUCAAUAAAUGUUUACAUUGAAAAA